GAGGCACAGGAGGCAAAAGCGCGGGAAGCGGUGUACGGCGGUUGAAGGGAUGACGCCCCUCAGUAUUAAGGCAUGUGUCAAGCGAUGUGUUGGAACCCAGCAACCAGUAUUAUUAGCAAUGGAAUAUGAUUCGAACGAUGAUGAUUAUCUGGAAGAUAAAGAGUAUGGCCCAGAUGAAGAUUAAGAAUGGCAAUGGUUGGAAUGGUGUUUUUGGAAUGUGGAAAGAACAAGCAAAGAAAGUUCAGAGGAUCAAAGCAUCGUGGUACUGCGGAGAGUAGAUAAAGAUAAAGAAAUGUGCCAUGAAGAGAAGUUGGGUCUAGAAAGCAAACCCUGACUCUUACUUCAAGUCGAGAGCCCAGAGUGAGCUACGUCCGGAGUGAGGCGAGGCCAGAGUGUGAGGGAAUUUGGUGAGAGUGGGAAUUGCUUCUGUGAGUGUCGUGAGAACUGCUA